GACGUAGGGUGCAAGCGUUAAUCGGAAUUACUGGGCGUAAAGCGUGCGCAGGCGGCUUUGUAAGACGGAUGUGAAAUCCCCGGGCUCAACCUGGGAACUGCAUUCGUGACUGCAAGGCUAGAGUGUGUCAGAGGGAGGUGGAAUUCCGCGUGUAGCAGUGAAAUGCGUAGAGAUGCGGAGGAACACCGAUGGCGAAGGCAGCCUCCUGGGAUAACACUGACGCUCAUGCACGAAAGCGUGGGGAGCAAACAGGAUUAGAAACCCGAGUAGU
rnacentral:rRNA from 1 species